rnacentral:ncRNA from 1 species
UGACACCUCUCACGAACUAGAAAAACACGUAGGACCAUUAAAUUAAAAAGUAACACUAACAUGUAUUAAACUAUGAAGGCAUGGCCUAUCAAUCCUUUAUGCUUUCAUAAUUUGAUACUAGAGCUAUUACAAAUGUUUUCAUAGGGAUAACAUGCUUGUGGAAGUUAAACAUUCAUAAUGACAUUGUUUUUUGAUCCUUCAUUGUCAACUCUUCCUAUCAUUAUGAAGCAUAAUUCAUCUAGUGUUGGAUUGUUCACCCACUUCAGAAAAACUUAUUAGAGUGACUAAGGAAAUAUUU